CCUACGGGGUGCUGCAGUGAGGAAUAUUGGUCAAUGGGCGUAAGCCUGAACCAGCCAAGUCGCGUGAGGGAUGAAGGUUCUAUGGAUCGUAAACCUCUUUUAUAAGGGAAUAAAGUGAGGGACGUGUAUCGUUCUGUAUGUACCUUAUGAAUAAGGAUCGGCUAACUCCGUGCCAGCAGCCGCGGUAAUACGGAGGAUCCGAGCGUUAUCCGGAUUUAUUGGGUUUAAAGGGUGCGUAGGCGGCCUGUUAAGUCAGCGGUGAAAGUCUGUGGCUCAACCAUGGAAUUGCCGUUGAAACUGGGCGGCUUGAGUAUGUUUGAGGCAGGCGGAAUGUGUGGUGUAGCGGUGAAAUGCUUAGAUAUCACGCAGAACCCCGAUUGCGAAGGCAGCCUGCCAAGCCAUGACUGACGCUGAUGCACGAAAGCGUGGGGAUCAAACAGGAUUAGAUACCCGUGUAGUC
rnacentral:rRNA from 1 species